UACAGAGGUCUCAAGCGUUGUUCGGAUUCAUUGGGCGUAAAGGGUGCGUAGGUGGCGCGGUAAGUCGGGUGUGAAAUUUCGGAGCUUAACUCCGAAACUGCAUUCGAUACUGCCGUGCUUGAGGACUGGAGAGGAGACUGGAAUUUACGGUGUAGCAGUGAAAUGCGUAGAGAUCGUAAGGAAGACCAGUGGCGAAGGCGGGUCUCUGGACAGUUCCUGACCCUGAGGCACGAAGGCCAGGGGAGCAAACGGG
rnacentral:rRNA from 1 species